rnacentral:rRNA from 1 species
UGGGGAAUUUUGGACAAUGGGGGAAACCCUGAUCCAGCCAUGCCGCGUGAGUGAAGAAGGCCUUCGGGUUGUAAAGCUCUUUCGGCAGGAACGAAAUGGUCCGUGUUAAUAACUCGGACCGAUGACGGUACCUGAAGAAGAAGCACCGGCUAACUACGUGCCAGCAGCCGCGGUAAUACGUAGGGUGCAGGCGUUAAUCGGAAUUACUGGGCGUAAAGCGUGCGCAGGCGGUUUGUUAAGACAGAUGUGAAAUCCCCGGGCUUAACCUGGGAACUGCGUUUGUUACUGGCAGACUUGAGUGUGGCAGAGGGGGGUAGAAUUCCACGUGUAGCAGUGAAAUGCGUAGAUAUGUGGAGGAAUACCAAUGGCGAAGGCAGCCCCCUGGGUUAACACUGACGCUCAUGCACGAAAGCGUGGGGAGCAAACAGGAUUAGAUACCCCUGUAGUCC